rnacentral:rRNA from 1 species
UACGUAGGUGGCAAGCGUUGUUCGGAAUUAUUGGGCGUAAAGGGCGCGUAGGCGGUUUGUUAAGUCGGAUGUGAAAUCCCUGGGCUCAACCUAGGCAUUGCAUCCGAUACUGGCUAACUAGAGUGUGGGAGAGGAAGGUAGAAUUCCAGGUGUAGCGGUGAAAUGCGUAGAGAUCUGGAGGAAUACCGAUGGCGAAGGCAGCCUUCUGGCCUAACACUGACGCUGAGGUGCGAAAGCAUGGGGAGCAAACAGG